UAGUAGUGAGCUUUGUCCAGAAGAUAAUUGACAUUAUUUUUUAUGCUUUGUCCUCGAGUUACGACAACAGCCGUUAUGUGCAGCUCGUCGAGGAGGCACUCGUAGACAAUACCUUGUCUAGCGGCGACGCGCAGAUGUCGGAAGACGAUGUUCAAACAGGCAGAUGGCUGAAGACAGCCAGGAUGCAAGUGUUCAGUCUGGUGGUGAUGUUCAGAAUGAAAAGUCUACUGAAGAUGAAGGUGAAAGGUCCAAUGGCAAACACACUGAUUUCGAAAGAAGAUAUAUGAAAAUAACGUCAUGCGCGAUGUCCACUCCUUUUGGGCAUGGAAAUCGGAACAAGAAACCCUUGUGUGCAGCCGGGAGGAGAAGCUGACUCAGAGAUAUGUUGCUAAUAUCAACUAUACAUCUACUCACUGUCAUAUUACACACACUUCCAGUCUUA